rnacentral:lncRNA from 1 species
GAAGUUUCUCCUCCUGUCCUGUAACUGGUUUUCACUCACUCAACUGAGAGAUUUCUUUGUUGCAAUGAUGGGGUCUAAGAUAACACUUCUGGAGGCUGCAGGCGAGAAACACAGCAGAUAUCAUCUUUUAUUGUAUGUUGUUAUUUGCCUAGCAUUAUAAAUUAAGGAGGAAAAAUAACAAAGAGCUUGAAGACGUGCACAGCUCACAGGCCCUGGGUGGAGGCUGGCGGCAUCAGACAGACAGAACCAAGACAUCUGAGGGGCAACCAGGAGGUGCGUGUGGCUGCAGAGCACACAGACUUGUCUUUGGACAAAAUUGAGAAGAACUCAUAAACUUCGCUUCUUCACUUCUGCUCCUCAGACACGCAUGGAUGAUUUGAACAUAUUAGCCUAACAAGAUGGAAGCAGGUUUAAAAUUUUAUAUAAGAAGUUACCUUUUUCAGUUGUGUUGAUGUUCCUUUCAGCUGGUCCUAUAGUCCCCCUCCUCAGGAAUGUCUCCCAGUGCAAGGACAAAGACUGAAGAGACUGCUAUAUUGAUGGACCCUCAAGCCAAC